rnacentral:piRNA from 1 species
UUCAAACAAUCCUCGCUUUGUUGGGCUC